rnacentral:lncRNA from 1 species
UUAGAUUUACUUGCAGGUUAAAGGCCAACUCCGGCGAUUUUUCGAGGUCUAUGGAUCUCAAUAAAACUCGCUGGGCACGUUCCUUUUCACGUUCCCGUUAUAUAUGCCAAAUUACAAGCUGGAGACAUACGCAGAUUCAUUGCAAAUGAAUUUUAUUGAUUGCCCCGACUC